rnacentral:rRNA from 1 species
CUGCUCAAUGAAUUUAUUUUAAAUAGCUGCAGUAUAAAUAACUGUACAAAGGUAGCAUCCUAAUUAGUUUUUUAAUUAAAAACUUGAAUGAAAGAUUUANUGGAAUGUAAUCUGUCUCUAAAAUAAUAAAUAAAUUUUUUAUUUAAAUUAAAAAAUUUAAAUAAUUAUAAAAGACGGUAAGACCCUAAGACUUUUAAAUCCUUUAAAUUAAUUAAUUAAUUUAANNUAUUUUAAUUGGGGGAAUUUUAAAAANUAAUUAAUUUUUAAUUAAAAUUAAACAAUUAUUUUUGUAAAAAAAAUCAUUUUUAAGUAAAAAAUUAUAAUUACCCUNGGGGUAACAGC